AUUGAACGCUGGCGGCAUGCUUUACACAUGCAAGUCGAACGGCAGCGCGGGCUUCGGCCUGGCGGCGAGUGGCGAACGGGUGAGUAAUGCAUCGGAACGUGCCCAGUAGUGGGGGAUAGCCCGGCGAAAGCCGGAUUAAUACCGCAUACGACCUGAGGGUGAAAGCGGGGGAGCGAAAGGCCUCGCGCUCUUGGAGCGGCCGAUGUCGGAUUUGCUAGUUGGUGGGGUAAAGGCUUACCAAGGCGACGAUCCGUAGCUGGUCUGAGAGGACGACCAGCCACACUGGGACUGAGACACGGCCCAGACUCCUACGGGAGGCAGCAGUGGGGAAUUUUGGACAAUGGGGGCAACCCUGAUCCAGCCAUGCCGCGUGCGGGAAGAAGGCCUUCGGGUUGUAAACCGCUUUUGUUCGGGAAGAAAUCCUCUGGGCUAAUACCCCGGGGGGAUGACGGUACCGGAAGAAUAAGCACCGGCUAACUACGUG
rnacentral:rRNA from 1 species